GUGGCCAGGCUCCGCCCCUUCCCCACCUCCGUCCCGCGGUAGCCGGGUGUCCUCGCGCCGCUCGUCCGCGCGCUGCCUGGCAGUUUGCCUCUUCCUCGUCUGUCCUCCAGCUUGCGUCCAUGGCCACCGCCGCGACCGAGGAGCCCUUUCCUUUCCACGGUCUUCUACCAAAGAAGGAGACCGGGGCCUCCUCCUUCCUGUGCCGCUACCCGGAGUAUGACGGGCGCGGGGUGCUCAUCGCCGUCCUGGACACAGGGGUCGAUCCCGGGGCCCCGGGCAUGCAGGUUACAACUGAUGGAAAACCAAAAAUCAUUGAUAUCAUUGAUACAACAGGAAGUGGUGAUGUAAAUACUGCUACAGAAGUAGAACCAAAAGAUGGUGAAAUUAUUGGUCUUUCUGGAAGAGUGCUUAAGAUUCCUGCAAACUGGACAAAUCCUUUAGGAAAAUAUCAUAUUGGCAUUAAAAAUGGUUAUGACUUCUAUCCAAAGGCUCUCAAGGAAAGGAUACAGAAAGAACGGAAGGAAAAAAUCUGGGAUCCAAUUCACAGAGUUGCACUUGCAGAAGCUUGUAGAAAACAAGAAGAAUUUGAUAUUGCCAACAAUGGCUCUUCCCAAGCCAAUAAACUAAUCAAGGAAGAGUUGCAAAGUCAAGUGGAAUUACUUAAUUCUUUUGAGAAAAAGUAUAGUGAUCCAGGCCCUGUAUAUGACUGCUUGGUGUGGCAUGAUGGUGAGACCUGGAGAGCCUGUGUUGAUUCAAAUGAGAAUGGGGACUUGAGUAAAUGUGCCGUAUUGAGAAACUACAAAGAGGCCCAAGAGUACAGUUCUUUUGGCACAGCUGAGAUGCUGAAUUACUCUGUGAACAUUUAUGACGAUGGGAACCUGCUCUCCAUUGUGACCAGCGGAGGAGCUCAUGGAACCCAUGUAGCAAGUAUAGCCGCAGGGCAUUUUCCAGAAGAGCCUGAACGGAAUGGAGUUGCUCCUGGUGCUCAAAUUCUAUCCAUUAAGAUUGGUGAUACACGGCUAAGCACUAUGGAAACAGGCACAGGCCUCAUCAGAGCUAUGAUAGAAGUUAUAAAUCAUAAGUGUGAUCUUGUCAACUACAGUUAUGGAGAAGCAACUCAUUGGCCAAAUUCUGGGAGAAUUUGUGAAGUAAUUAAUGAAGCAGUAUGGAAACAUAAUACAAUUUAUGUUUCAAGUGCUGGAAAUAAUGGUCCAUGCCUUUCUACAGUGGGUUGUCCAGGAGGAACUACAUCCAGUGUGAUAGGUGUUGGAGCUUAUGUUUCCCCUGAUAUGAUGGUUGCAGAGUAUUCACUGAGAGAGAAACUGCCUGCAAAUCAAUAUACAUGGUCUUCUAGAGGCCCAAGUGCUGAUGGAGCCCUCGGUGUGAGCAUCAGUGCACCAGGAGGUGCUAUUGCUUCUGUGCCUAACUGGACAUUGAGGGGGACUCAGCUAAUGAAUGGGACAUCAAUGUCUUCCCCCAAUGCCUGUGGUGGCAUUGCCCUGGUACUUUCAGGGCUGAAAGCAAAUAAUGUUGACUAUACUGUACACUCAGUCAGAAGAGCUCUAGAAAAUACUGCAAUAAAAGCUGACAAUAUAGAAGUAUUUGCCCAAGGACAUGGAAUUAUUCAGGUUGACAAAGCUUAUGACUACCUCAUUCAAAAUACAUCAUUUGCUAACAGAUUAGGUUUUACAGUUACUGUUGGAAAUAACCGUGGUAUCUACCUCCGAGAUCCUGUCCAGGUGGCUGCUCCUUCAGAUCAUGGUGUUGGCAUUGAGCCUGUAUUUCCAGAGAACACAGAAAACUCUGAAAAAAUAUCCUUUCAGCUUCAUUUAGCUUUAACUUCAAAUUCAUCUUGGGUUCAGUGUCCCAGCCAUUUGGAACUCAUGAAUCAGUGUCGGCACAUAAACAUACGUGUGGACCCCAGGGGCUUAAGAGAAGGGUUACAUUAUACAGAGGUAUGUGGCUAUGAUAUAGCAUCCCCCAAUGCAGGUCCUUUAUUCAGAGUUCCAAUCACUGCAGUUAUAGCAGCAAAAGUAAAUGAGUCAUCACAUUAUGAUCUAGCCUUUACAGAUGUACAUUUUAAACCUGGUCAGAUUCGAAGACAUUUUGUUGAGGUUCCUGAAGGGGCAACCUGGGCUGAAGUUACCGUGUGUUCAUGUUCUUCUGAGGUAUCGGCAAAAUUUGUUCUUCAUGCAGUACAGCUUGUGAAGCAGAGAGCAUAUCGAAGUCAUGAAUUUUAUAAGUUUUGUUCCCUUCCAGAAAAAGGAACACUUAUUGAAGCUUUUCCUGUUUUGGGCGGAAAAGCAAUUGAAUUUUGUAUUGCUCGUUGGUGGGCAAGUCUUAGUGAUGUCAAUAUUGAUUAUACCAUAUCAUUCCAUGGGAUAGUGUGUACUGCACCACAGUUAAACAUUCAUGCAUCUGAAGGAAUCAAUCGUUUUGAUGUUCAGUCCUCUUUAAAGUAUGAAGAUCUGGCUCCUUGCAUAACUUUGAAGAGCUGGGUGCAAACGCUACGCCCAGUAAAUGCAAAAACCAGACCUUUAGGAUCAAGAGAUGUUUUGCCAAAUAAUCGCCAGCUUUAUGAGAUGGUCCUUACAUACAGCUUUCAUCAGCCCAAGAGCGGAGAAGUAACACCUAGUUGUCCACUCCUUUGUGAAUUGUUAUAUGAGUCAGAAUUUGACAGUCAGUUGUGGAUUAUUUUCGACCAGAACAAAAGACAGAUGGGCUCAGGCGAUGCCUAUCCACAUCAGUAUUCUCUGAAAUUGGAGAAAGGAGAUUAUACAAUUCGAUUACAGAUUCGUCAUGAGCAAAUCAGUGAUUUGGAUCGUCUCAAAGAUCUUCCGUUUAUUGUUUCACAUAGGUUGUCUAAUACCUUGAGCUUAGAUAUUCAUGAAAAUCAUAGCCUUGCACUUCUAGGAAAGAAGAAAUCAAGCAGCUUAACAUUACCACCCAAAUACAAUCAGCCAUUCUUUGUUACUUCCUUACCUGAUGAUAAAAUACCUAAGGGGGCAGGACCCGGAUGCUACCUUGCAGGCUCCUUGACAUUGUCAAAGACUGAGCUUGGAAAGAAAGCUGGGCAGUCUGCAGCAAAACGACAAGGAAAAUUUAAAAAGGAUGUGAUCCCUGUUCAUUACUAUCUCAUACCUCCACCAACAAAGAUUAAGAAUGGCAGCAAAGAUAAAGAAAAGGAUUCAGAAAAAGAGAAAGACUUGAAAGAAGAGUUUACUGAAGCAUUACGCGAUCUCAAAAUUCAGUGGAUGACCAAGCUUGAUUCUACUGACAUUUACAAUGAAUUGAAAGAAACAUAUCCUGCUUACCUUCCUUUGUAUGUUGCACGUCUUCAUCAACUGGAUGCUGAAAAGGAACGAAUGAAAAGACUUAAUGAAAUUGUUGAUGCUGCCAAUGCUGUUAUUUCUCACAUCGAUCAAACCGCUCUUGCAGUUUACAUUGCAAUGAAGACUGACCCCAGGCCUGAUGCAGCUACUAUAAAAAAGUACCUAACCAUGAUAUGGACAAGCAGAAAUCCACCCUGAUAGAUGCCCUCUGCAGGAAAGGAUGUGCCCUGGCAGAUCACCUUCUUCAUACACAGCCUCACGACGGGGCAGCAGCUGGAGAUGCUGAAGCAAAGGAAGAAGAAGGAGAAAGUACCAUGGAAUCUCUAUCGGAAACCUAUUGGGAAACUACAAAGUGGACAGAUCUUUUUGACACUAAGGUUUUGAUAUUUGCAUACAAGCAUGCAUUAGUAAAUAAGAUGUAUGGGAGAGGCCUUAAGUUUGCAACCAAACUCGUAGAAGAAAAACCAACAAAAGAAAACUGGAAAAAUUGUAUUCAACUCAUGAAAUUACUUGGAUGGACCCACUGUGCAUCUUUUACUGAAAACUGGCUCCCCAUCAUGUAUCCUCCUGAUUAUUGUGUAUUCUAAAAUAAGAACCAAAACUUUACAUUUCAAAACAGAAAAUUUUAUAGUGAAUGGAUAUAUGAAGAAUUGUGUGGCAUUUUUAGUCUGACUAAUGCAUGUUUUCAUCUACCAUUCAAUACUGAUCAUUAAAACUAUAUGUAUUUAUCAGAGAACUCAGUGGCGUGUGGCUUAAUACAUGUAAUACAGACCUCUGACAUCAUGCUGCUUUCCUACUGCCUCCGACACUCGGCAAGUAGAGAGCACUCCCUGCCUGCCAGCCCCACCUGAGUUGGAUGCAGCUGCACACUGCAUGAGAGGUUUUCAUGUUUUAAUUUUAGCUGUAAAAUGUCAUCCUGUUUUUUAUUUUAUAAAUCACAAAGGUUAAAACAUGCUAAAUUUUUCCAAUUAUAUAGAGGCCUUAAAAAUGCUACAUUAGGUGUAGCUAAAUUAUUUAUUUGACUAAAAAAUAUGGGAACAUAAUUUCCAGACUUUUUUUCUAAAAAUAAAUUCAAUUAGUGGGGAUGGUGGGGGGCAUAAACAAAUGGCAACUGGGAAAAGAAACAUGUUAAGGAAAUCUCCAUAAGGAGUCAUAACAAAAACAAGGUGUUUUUAGAGCACCCUCAAUUACAUAGCAUCAGAAUGAGUUAAAAUUUCUUGUGUUGGUGACAGACAGCUGAAUCUAUCUGGUUUUGUAAAGAAAUACACAGUAUGUUUAUAACAUUGAAAUCAUGUAAAAUACAUGAAUAAACGUGCAAAACCACAGGCACAGUACACCAUAUGCACUCUGAUACCUUAUUUUUUUUUUAUAAAUAAAAGUAAAUAUUAAAGCUA